GACGAUCGCUGGAGGCGUGCUUAACACAUGCAAGUCGAACGAUGAAAUGGAGCUUGCUCCAUGGAUUAGUGGCGAACGGGUGAGUAACACGUGAAUAACCUGCCCUUAAUUUUGGAAUAACCCAGGGAAACCUGGGCUAAUACCGGAUAAGUAAACCUGUGGCAUCACAUGGUUUUGGAAAGUUUUUCGAUUAAGGAUGGAUUCGCGGCCUAUCAGCUUGUUGGUGAGGUAAUGGCUCACCAAGGCGACGACGGGUAGCCGGCCUGAGAGGGUGAACGGCCACACUGGGACUGAGACACGGCCCAGACUCCUACGGGAGGCAGCAGUGGGGAAUAUUGCGCAAUGGACGAAAGUCUGACGCAGCGACGCCUCGUGAGGGACGGAGGUCUUCGGAUUGUAAACCUCUUUCAGCAGGGACGAAGCGAAAGUGACGGUACCUGCAGAAGAAGCACCGGCUAACUACGUGCCAGCCGCCGCGGUAA
rnacentral:rRNA from 1 species